GAAGUGCGAUAAGCAAUGCGAAUUGCAGAACCGUGAGUCAUCAGAUUUUUGAACGCAACUGGCGCCGAUUGGCUCUCCAACCGGCAUGCUUGUUUCAGUGUCUCUUUAUCUCAUCACCCAUAUCAUAAUGCGAGAGAUACCCUUCUCUUGCUAAGCUCGAAAGCACUCUGCGCUCUGCGAGCGGCUUCGACUUGUUCGAGGGUCGCACUCAAUGCAGCCGUCACAUUGCUCACAAUGUGAACUCAUUGAGAGCUGAGGCAGUGUAGCGUAAGCUACCAGUGCUUAGUCACACAAACUUUACUUGCAUCUGAAAUCAAGCAGGAUCACCCGCUGAACUUAAGC
rnacentral:misc_RNA from 1 species